GAUGAACGCUGGCGGCGUGCCUAAUACAUGCAAGUCGAACGCUUCACUUCGGUGAAGAGUGGCGAACGGGUGAGUAAUACAUAAGUAACCUGGCAUCUACAGGGGGAUAACUGAUGGAAACGUCAGCUAAGACCGCAUAGGUGUAGAGAUCGCAUGAACUCUAUAUGAAAAGUGCUACGGGACUGGUAGAUGAUGGACUUAUGGCGCAUUAGCUUGUUGGUAGGGUAACGGCCUACCAAGGCGACGAUGCGUAGCCGACCUGAGAGGGUGACCGGCCACACUGGGACUGAGACACGGCCCAGACUCCUACGGGAGGCAGCAGUAGGGAAUUUUCGGCAAUGGGGGAAACCCUGACCGAGCAACGCCGCGUGAAGGAAGAAGUAAUUCGUUAUGUAAACUUCUGCCAUAGAGGAAGAGCGGUGGAUAUAGGGAAUGAUAUCCAAGUGACGGUACUCUAUAAGAAAGCCACGGCUAACUACGUG
rnacentral:rRNA from 1 species